CCGUUCGUGAUGCUUUGGUUAAGCGGCCGUGUUGGAAACAAUAACAGUGACUAACCAAACAUAACGAACAAACUAAGUGAAACGUCGCAACUAGUCAAAUAUGCGAGACCUAAACGGUCGCAUCUCCCUCAAUAGAAUAAUAACAGUGUACACUCAAUUUUUAAUACAGGUAAUAUAUUCUUUCUAUCAAAAACUCUCAAGCUCGCUUGCUUCUAAUACUAACCAAUCGAUCAGAUUCAAUGCAUGCUGGUUGCGUUUAGUCUACUGCACUGCUAUGUCCGCAUCAGUCUCUGUGGGGGCUAUCACACACUCCAGGAGCCCAUCGGACCUCGGUGUGUAUACCGAGCACACAUUCGAUAUCGAUCCUAUCGAUCUGUCACCUCAUGAAGAAGCUAAGUGAAACGACUUACGGCUACCGACAAGUGGGUUGGAUUUGAUGUAGCUGGCGUUCGAUGGAAUGCUGAAUUCCUGUGAUCAAACGUUUGUAAGGAAAUAUGUUUCAACACAUGAGGUCUGUCCGGAAUGUCACCGUGAAUCCCUGGAGCUUGCAAGCCUCGAAUGCCUGGGAUCUCCGCCAGCGCUCACACGUCGCUGUAUGUUCCGCUACUUGAGGUGACAGGCAGAUGAGAACCGACGCAUUGAAGGAUGUUAUUCAAGACUGAAUGUUGAAUGGUGGGGGCGCGAUGGCGCUCCGCGAUUUACGGUAGCUGAGAUUUGCACUGGGAAAACGAUGGCGGAAACUUGCCGCAACAGCGAUGGCGGCAUUCUGUGACCGUAUGGCUGCUAGUGUUCCAACUGCUGCUCAACUACACUGUUUUACCUCUUGUGCUAGGAAACAUCUGUGGGUCGUCUUGUCCCUCCGGAAGCAAGGAGGACGCCACAGUGGUCGACGUCAAUGGGGAAUUACUUGUGGAAUCCAUCUGCCAACAAUCUGCCAACAAAUCGUGAGUCAUCAAAUCGACUCAGUAUUAAUUUUAGAAUAAAACUUGCACUUGGAGUAUCAAAACAACAAUUAUUAGUUGAGUUAAUGUAGGACAUCUUGAGUGAGUGAGAAAAUUAGUUCUAGUGUAGAAAAGUAAUUCCUUGUCGACGUUUAGUGUUGAUAUUUCCAAAAUAAUUAUGUUUACAUUUUUAGUUCUUUGACUACCCCUCAUGUUGAACAAGACUUUAAAGUGGGAGCACUAAUAACGUUUCCUGAGCUCUAGAGAUUUUCAAUCGGAUGAAGAGUUUGGAUAUAAUCCAAGCAAAACUUGGAGCUCAUACUUCUACAGUGUUGAUUGAUGCACUUGCAAAUUUGGAACAAUUGAUGAAGCCCGCAGUUUUUUUUAAUGGAGUGAACAAUCUGAGAUGUUCACCGAAUGUGGUGACUUAUGCAACUCCGUCUAUGGGCUUGCAAAGGCUAGUGGACUGAGAAGGGAGUUCUGGAAUUUGGGGCGGAGUCUAUCGAUAGGGGUCCGGGCGUCAAACGCUCCUCUCUCUUUUCUGCUUUUGGUUCUGUUUGCGAGAGCUCUGGAAAAUCCGGUGUGCUGCGGCUAGGGCCGUUCCGUCCACACUUGUGUUUUCUUCUUGCUGGUGAUCUAUCCUCUUCGGCGGCCGAGGUUUGUGAGCGCUCUCUCUUGUUCUUCCUUGUCUUCGUUCUUACGGAGUAGUGGCGUUGCGUCGCUGGUUCUUUCUCUUGCUCAUGGUUCAGAAGGCGGCGACUGGUUUUUGGUGGUGCUGCAAUUGCUUCCUACGGCAUUGUUGUGGUUCUUUCUCUUCCUCGUGGAUUCGCGGAAGGCAAUUCGGUAGUUGUGCUCGAUAGUUUACUCGGGGUAGCAGCAGGAACUGUGAAGCUCGCGUUUACAACGUGAUUCUGGUUCUUAAUCUUCUGAUCCAUUCUUCCGCCUUGUUGCUCGGUCUUGUGUGGUUGUGUUCUUUUAAAUGUUAUGAUGGUCCCUUCCUUGAGUCUAGUCCGCCAUCAUGUGUUCAGUACCAUUUGUUGUUUGUUUGAACCCAACCACUCAUUGCUGAUCAGUCUCUUGUUGUUGAUCGUCUAUCUCUAAUCGUGUUCUUGCCCGUGUUCCGUUAGUGACUUGCGGCAGAGCCGCAUGCUCUUUGCUCACUUUUCUUUUCUUUUUCUUUUCUUUUCUUUUUUUCUUUUUUUUCGAUCUGCUUGUUCUGUUGAGCGCCAGGUCGGCUGUCAACGGUGCUUGGUUCCCUGCAGCUGCUUGGUCUACGUUUAGUUCGUCCUCCCGUGCUCUCACAAGAUGUUGGAGUAGAAGAAGCAAGCUGGGGUGCGAUAUACGUGCGGAGCGGCUUGGGAGUUGACUUGGAGCUACAACAGAAGCUGAGGGGUGGUUGUUAUCUUUGACCUCGUUCUUGUGGUUCCUGCGGCAAGUCUGAUUCUGCCGACAGUUUUGCGUCGUUCCAUUCUUUGGAGUAGACGAUCUUCACGAGCUCCAAUUCUUUUUUUUUUUUUUUUUUUUUCUUUUUUCUCUCUAGUAUAUGGUGGGGCUGCAAGCUUCGGAUCUCUAAAGUGUUGGCUUUAGUCGGAGAGCUGCUGUGUUGAAUUGCUUUGGAUUAGCGGGGUCACGUUGACGUCUAGCUCGAUUCCCACUUUUCGGUUAUUUUUUGCUUUUCUCCCUUAAGACUCGUGAUUGGAGCAACAUGGUGAUUUCCGGCACACCUUCUGCAACGUGGCUGGUUGAAGUCGAGCGCCAAGCAAUCCAGGAGCGGAUGUCUUUGGUUCUUCUCCGAUCGUUGGUUGUGUGGUAAUGCAGCAAUGGCCGGCCCAAGGCAAGACUGCUGGGGAUCUUGCGUGGUCCCUAUAAGAUGACGUUGUGGUUGUAAUGCACUUUCAGAAUCAGUAUCUAGCACUCACAACUCGGCUUUUGGUGGUUAUUGAGAUAGGUGUCUACAUUGCUGAGGUCGGCUGCUUGAUGUGGGAGUAACAAGUCUAGGCUAUGUUAAAAUAAACAAGUAUUAUCAUAGGUAUGGUAAAGUAAAUAAGUAUUAUCUUAGGUGAGUUACUAAUGGUUUAAGAGUAGCAAAAAGGUGUAGAGAAGUAAUUAAAGUGGCGAUUAGAUGAAGUGGAAUCUAGGGUUUUAUUGGAUGAAGCAAAGAUGGAUGAAGAUGAAGUUCAACUAUAAUAGAUAUAAACUCCACCUAUAAGUAAAAGUUGUUGGAAGUGAGAAUUAACUCAUUCUACAUUUUCUUGUGUA